GGUGGCCGCAGAGAAUAGGCCCAAGCGACUGUUUACCAAAAACAUAGGUUUCUGCUAAGUCGCAAGACGAUGUAUAGGAGCUGACGCCUGCCCGGUGCUGGAAGGUUAAGGGGAUCUGUUAGAGCAAUCGAAGCAGUGAACUUAAGCCCCAGUAAACGGCGGCCGUAACUAUAACGGUCCUAAGGUAGCGAAAUUCCUUGUCGGGUAAGUUCCGACCCGCACGAAAGGCGUAACGAUUUGGGCACUGUCUCA
rnacentral:rRNA from 1 species